rnacentral:rRNA from 1 species
GAUGAACGCUGGCGGCGUGCCUAAUACAUGCAAGUCGAGCGAACAGAUGAGGAGCUUGCUCCUCUGACGUUAGCGGCGGACGGGUGAGUAACACGUGGAUAACCUACCUAUAAGACUGGGAUAACUUCGGGAAACCGGAGCUAAUACCGGAUAAUAUAUUGAACCGCAUGGUUCAAUAGUGAAAGACGGUUUUGCUGUCACUUAUAGAUGGAUCCGCGCUGCAUUAGCUAGUUGGUAAGGUAACGGCUUACCAAGGCAACGAUGCGUAGCCGACCUGAGAGGGUGAUCGGCCACACUGGAACUGAGACACGGUCCAGACUCCUACGGGAGGCAGCAGUAGGGAAUCUGCCGCAAUGGGCGAAAGCCUGACGGAGCAACGCCGCGUGAGUGAUGAAGGUCUUCGGAUCGUAAAACUCUGUUAUUAGGGAAGAACAAAUGUGUAAGUAACUAUGCACGUCUUGACGGUACCUAAUCAGAAAGCCACGGCUAACUACGUG